UACGUAGGGUGCAAGCGUUAUCCGGAAUUAUUGGGCGUAAAGAGCUCGUAGGCGGUUUGUCGCGUCUGCUGUGAAAACCCGAGGCUCAACCUCGGGCCUGCAGUGGGUACGGGCAGACUAGAGUGCGGUAGGGGAGACUGGAAUUCCUGGUGUAGCGGUGGAAUGCGCAGAUAUCAGGAGGAACACCGAUGGCGAAGGCAGGUCUCUGGGCCGCAACUGACACUGAGGAGCGAAAGCAUGGGGAGCGAACAGG
rnacentral:rRNA from 1 species